rnacentral:rRNA from 1 species
UACGGAGGGAGCUAGCGUUGUUCGGAUUCAUUGGGCGUAAAGGGUGCGUAGGCGGCGGGGCAAGUCUGAUGUGAAAUCCCGGGGCUCAACCCCGGAACUGCAUUGGAUACUGCCUUGCUUGAGUACUGGAGAGGGAACUGGAAUUUACGGUGUAGCAGUGAAAUGCGUAGAGAUCGUAAGGAAGGCCAGUGGCGAAGGCGAGUUCCUGGACAGUUACUGACGCUGAGGCACGAAGGCCAGGGGAGCAAACGGG